GAUGAACGCUGGCGGCGUGCCUAAUACAUGCAAGUCGAGCGAACAGACGAGGAGCUUGCUCCUCUUACGUUAGCGUCGGACGGGUGAGUAACACGUGGAUAACCUACCUAUAAGACUGGGAUAACUUCGGGAAACCGGAGCUAAUACCGGAUAAUAUAUUGAACCGCAUGGUUCAAUAGUGAAAGACGGUUUUGCUGUCACUUAUAGAUGGAUCCGCGCCGCAUUAGCUAGUUGGUAAGGUAACGGCUUACCAAGGCGACGAUGCGUAGCCGACCUGAGAGGGUGAUCGGCCACACUGGAACUGAGACACGGUCCAGACUCCUACGGGAGGCAGCAGUAGGGAAUCUUCCGCAAUGGGCGAAAGCCUGACGGAGCAACGCCGCGUGAGUGAUGAAGGUCUUCGGAUCGUAAAGCUCUGUUAUUAGGGAAGAACAAAUGUGUAAGUAAAUAUGCACGUCUUGACGGUACCUAAUCAGAAAGCCACGGCUAACUACGUG
rnacentral:rRNA from 1 species